rnacentral:rRNA from 1 species
AUAAUGGGUCAGCGACUUAUAUUCAGUAGCGAGGUUAACCGUAUAGGGGAGCCGUAGAGAAAUCGAGUCUUAAUAGGGCGUUUAGUUGCUGGGUAUAGACCCGAAACCAGGCGAUCUAUCCAUGAGCAGGUUGAAGGUUGGGUAACACUAACUGGAGGACCGAACCCACUGUCGUUGAAAAGCCAGGGGAUGACUUGUGGAUAGGGGUGAAAGGCUAAUCAAGCCUGGUGAUAGCUGGUUCUCCCCGAAAGCUAUUUAGGUAGCGCCUCGGACGAAUACCAUAGGGGGUAGAGCACUGUUUCGGCUAGGGGGUCAUCCCGACUUACCAAACCGAUGCAAACUCCGAAUACCUAUGAGUACUAUCCGGGAGACAGACUGCGGGUGCUAACGUCCGUAGUCAAGAGGAAAACAAUCCAGACCGCCAGCUAAGGCCCCAAAAUCAUAGUUAAGUGGGAAACGAUGUGGGAAGGCAUAGACAGCUAGGAGGUUGGCUUAGAAGCAGCCACCCUUUAAAGAAAGCGUAAUAGCUCACUAGUCGAGUCGGCCUGCGCGGAAGAUGUAACGGGGCUAAAACUAUGUGCCGAAGCUGCGGAUGUAUACUUUGUAUACGUGGUAGGGGAGCGUUCUGUAAGCCGAUGAAGGUGUGUUGAGAAGCAUGCUGGAGGUAUCAGAAGUGCGAAUGCUGACGUGAGUAACGACAAAACGGGUGAAAAACCCGUUCGCCGAAAGACCAAGGGUUCCAGUCCAACGUUAAUCGGGGCUGGGUGAGUCGACCCCUAAGGCGAGGCCGAAAGGCGUAGUCGAUGGGAAAAUGGUUAAUAUUCCAUUACUUCUGUGUAAUGCGAUGAGAGGACGGAGAAGGCUAAAUCAGCCUGGCGUUGGUUGUCCAGGUGAAAGGAUGUAGGCAUGUAUCUUAGGCAAAUCCGGGGUACUCUAUGCUGAGAUCUGAUAGCAAGCUGUACUUGUACAGCGAAGUGGUUGAUGCCAUGCUUCCAGGAAAAGUCUCUAAGCUUCAGUUACACAGGAAUCGUACCCGAAACCGACACAGGUGGUCAGGUCGAGUAGACCAAGGCGCUUGAGAGAACUCUGCUGAAGGAACUAGGCAAAAUGGUACCGUAACUUCGGGAGAAGGUACGCUGUUGUUGGUGAUGGAACUCGCUUCCUGAGCUGACGACAGCCGCAGAAACCAGGCCGCUGCAACUGUUUAUUAAAAACAUAGCACUCUGCAAACACGAAAGUGGACGUAUAGGGUGUGAUGCCUGCCCGGUGCUGGAAGGUUAAUUGAUGGGGUUAGCGUAAGCGAAGCUCUUGAUCGAAGCCCCAGUAAACGGCGGCCGUAACUAUAACGGUCCUAAGGUAGCGAAAUUCCUUGUCGGGUAAGUUCCGACCUGCACGAAUGGCAUAAUGAUGGCGGCGCUGUCUCCAGCAGAGGCUCAGUGAAAUCGAAAUCGCUGUGAAGAUGCAGUGUACCCGCGGCUAGACGGAAAGACCCCGUGAACCUUUACUGCAGCUUGACACUGAACUUUGACCUUACUUGUGUAGGAUAGGUGGGAGGCUUUGAAGCUGGAACGCUAGUUCCAGUGGAGCCGUCCUUGAAAUACCACCCUGGUAAUGUUGAGGUUCUAACUCUGUCCCGUGAUCCGGGACGAGGACCGUGUCUGGUGGGUAGUUUGACUGGGGCGGUCUCCUCCUAAAGAGUAACGGAGGAGUACGAAGGUGCGCUCAGCGUGGUCGGAAAUCACGCGUAGAGUAUAAAGGCAAAAGCGCGCUUAACUGCGAGACCCACAAGUCGAGCAGGUACGAAAGUAGGUCUUAGUGAUCCGGUGGUUCUGUAUGGAAGGGCCAUCGCUCAACGGAUAAAAGGUACUCUGGGGAUAACAGGCUGAUACCGCCCAAGAGUUCAUAUCGACGGCGGUGUUUGGCACCUCGAUGUCGGCUCAUCUCAUCCUGGGGCUGAAGCAGGUCCCAAGGGUAUGGCUGUUCGCCAUUUAAAGAGGUACGCGAGCUGGGUUUAGAACGUCGUGAGACAGUUCGGUCCCUAUCUACCGUGGGCGCUGGAAAUUUGAGAGGAUCUGCUCCUAGUACGAGAGGACCAGAGUGGACGAACCUCUGGUGUACCGGUUGUGACGCCAGUCGCAUCGCCGGGUAGCUAUGUUCGGAAGGGAUAACCGCUGAAAGCAUCUAAGCGGGAAGCCUACCUCAAGAUAAGAUUUCCCUAGGACUUUAUGUCCUCUAAAGAGCCGUUCGAGACUAGGACGUUGAUAGGUUGGAUGUGGAAGCAUAGUGAUAUGUGAAGCUGACCAAUACUAAUUGCUCGUGAGGCUUGACUA